UGCCAGAUUAAAUAACGCUUAACCAGCGUAUUAGCGAGUCUAUCUUUUUCGAUCGAUGUCGCUCCGGAUUCGAGACUCGACUAGUCCCUUAACGAUCCAUUGCUAAACUCGUUCGACAACGCGAAAUUUCUUGCUCUCGUCUCAUUUUUUUUUUCCUUACCUUCUUCUCCAUUUUUUUCUUUUUUUACUUUUCUACAUAGAUCGAAGACAGUGUUGGAAAAGUGGAACGAUCGGUCGAGCGAUGUCUGGUAGGCAAGGAAUUCAAAGAUAUUUCGUUUAUCUCUUAUCAAAAGCUUUUACGAAGCAUUAACGAGACGCAAGGAUUAGAGUCGAUGGCUAUGCGACGCCUUUUGAGAAAGAAUUGACGCGGUUGGUGAACGCGUGCGCGAGACCUCGAAUACUCUUAGUAGUGUGCGUAGGUGAACCUUCUUGGUCCGGGCACGCAUCUUUCAACCGCCAUUACGGUGCCUCCGGGCGUCCAAAGCGUCGGAGGAGUUAUGUUGGCAAGCGUGUAUCGCGGUAUUUAUAAUGCCGUGCUUAAUUGUUGUCCGUAGAUCAAGCGCGCGUCGUAACUUCACCGGAAAUCCAUGGCGCCCACGUCGAAAGUUUUCUCCUUUCUCUCUUCUCUCUCUCUCUCUCUCUCUCUCUCUCUCUCUCCCUCCCUUCCUUUUGCUCGCUCACUCACUCACUCACUUAUUCACGUUUGACCCUCUCGUAUAAUUUCAACGAUCGCCGGCGGGUCACCUCUUUCGCGAUAGAAUCGUAAACUCUUCGUCCUUUUCGAGAAUUAACGAUCCAUGGCGACACUCGAUCGAUCCGAUCUUAACGUCGAUCGAGAACCUCGUUUGAUUUACCGACUAUCUUAACUCGAUACUUUCGGUCCGCUAUUACUUCCCGAUAUAUCGACCAACGUCACCUCGAUUCGAUAUACAUAUCCUCUUCCGUGUAGCAUUGUCUUCUCUUUCUUUCGAUAUCACUUUGUCAUUUCGUUCGAUCGCGGAUAACGAUAAAAAUAAAUAAGUACGUGAUUUAAUCGGGACAACGUUUUGACAUUUAAAAUCACGGACGAUCGAGUCCACAUUACCGCCAAUCAAAAUCCACUUCUACUCCCGAAGGAAGGACGAUCUUACACGAGGCUGCUAGCGAGCAUACGUACAUCGAUCCUUUGGCGUUUCGUGUGUGCGCAGCGAAGUUGAAUUAAUUAACUCCGUGGUGCCACGCCGUGAAUAUUAAGCAGACACGAGGAUCCGAGCAGGGCCGUCUUUACAUCCUGCGCGAGCUCCGUCUUUCUCUACUUCUUUCUCUCUCUCUCUCUCUCUCUCUCUCUCUCUCUCUCUCUCUCUCUCUCUUUCUUUCGCUUCAUCUCUCAGUCCGUGUCGCUGAGAUGAUGAGGUGCUCGUUUGAAUUCUGAUGCAUCCUCGCAGCUUCUACUUGGACACUGUCUUUCAUUAGGCAAUAAGUGGCGCAUGGGCACGAGCGAGAAGAAAAAGGAUGAUUUGCUUACCGAAUUGAUUGCCCUGCUAAUUGGCCGUCGACUAGAAAACGAUGCGUCCCUGGUGGUCGGUAGAAGUUAUAGGUGGCUACCGCAUGGCUGCGUUGGAAGAAACUUUAACCUCGGCGAAGAAGAACGUAGAAGACGACCGCGAACAGGCAUCGUCUCGCUACGCACAUCCUGAGAUUCCCUAAGUGUGGUUCUAUGUACUUGCGAGACGACUUGGUCACUGGAAAGUAAUGUUAUGCGUCAAUCGACCUCCACAACCCAGACGUAACCCGUAGUGGAUAAACUUUAGAAUAAACGAAACGAAAGUUUAUUUAUAUAUGGAGCACAAAGGAGUCCGCCCCUGGAAGAAGGAAAGGCACGUUCGAAGGAGCAACCUGCGAAGAUCGUUCGUGAUGGUAGCAGCUUCCGUCCUUAUUCGCCGUGCAUAAUGCGGACGUUCCGUGGCUUCGAGCCGGACCGAUUCCGAUUUGGAUUCCGAUCUCGUACAGGUGCGAUCUCGAGAGAGAAUCGAGCCGAUAGAAUCGAUAGAGCCGCGGAAUAAACGAGCCACUCUUGCCGCUCUUGAAUCCUGUGCCUACGCUUAAGGAGGAGGAAGAAGAAGAAGAAGAAGAAGAAGAAGAAAGGAAAUCAACGAUCGCCUGGUAACGCGAUUAUUAGCAACGCCAAGAAAAGUCGAUUCAAAAGAGCAUACGGUUAAUCAGAGAGAAAAUAUAAAUCCACGCACGAAACUAAUUGCUCGUACCUGUUCGACAAAGGGGUAACUCGUCGAGGCCGCGUCAAUAAACACGUCCCGCUAUCUUCUCUCCUUUUUUUCUUUUGCUCCUCGCUUCAUCUCCACCUUUCCUCCUCCCGCGUGUCGCGCCAAGUGGAAGGGCUGGCUACUUCAGGAGAGAGGCAGGGGGUCUUGAGUUAUUUAUCCGCGGAAGGGUCUAUUAAUUUCGAGCCAAUAAUAACUCGAACUCGUCGUACUAAUUAAUAUAUGAGCACCAUCGGCUUGGCAAGGCCCAAGCAGGUUCGUCUUCGCCGUGAGUGUAUCUUAAGGACUCGCUCGUCGUCCGUCCUUCUUUCUCUUUCUCACUCUCUUUCUCUCUCACUCACACUCAUCGUAUCGGCAAAGCGAUGAUGGAGGAUCGGUCCCGCCGACAAAGAUACCGCGACAUGAGCCAUGCGCUCUCGUUGCACGAAACUCGAUCGACUCUCUCUCUCUCUCUCUCUCUCUCUCUCUCCGUCCUCCUCUUCCUUCUCUUCCUUGUCUCUCUUCUUACCCUUAUAUCUCCUUCCUUCGAACUCCGAUGGAGAUCUUUAUAGGCGUGUCACUUCGAUAAAAACGUUAAGUAUCGACGUGCGGCCUACGGCUUCUGCCAAAAAGCGUCGAACCGACGACGAAGGAACGACGGAAAUACGAUGUCGUUCUGACAGCAUCGUAAAAAGAUUUUUUUUCAAUGGCAGAUAAAGAGAGCAUUAAGAGGAACUCUCUCAUUCACUCUCUCUCUCUCUCUCUCUCGCUCGCUGUCCUUUCUCUCCUUCGUGCUUUACAUACUCGUCUUGCACGAAAUUCACUCGCGAAACUUUUCUGUUUUCCUUUUUUGCCUCACGAUGAUGUGAUACGUAAGUAUUUACCAGGCUCUUACACGGCUAAUAAAUAGUAGAUUCUUUCGUAAACAAUAAUCUCUUUCCCGUGUACCGUGUAGUAUCAUUACGUUAGAAAACAAACAAAGUUCACCGUACGAUCGUGUCGAGACACAUCGUUUAGCGUGACACCUCGAAGAAGGUCACGUACGAGUCAGUCUAGCGGUAAUGCUCGUAGAGUCAAGACGCAAGAGUUAACACUCUAUCUAAUUCUAUUCCCUCUGAAUCUUUAUACAUACUCGGUUGGGUUCUAUGUGUCCUCUAUACAUACGUCGUAGAAACGGUUAAGAGAAGUCAAGGGAAUUGGUACCGCUGAGUAAGUAAAGUUCCUUCGUGUAUACGAGGAGAGAACACGUGCAAGAACGAUUUCGCGAACGAUCGGUCGAACUCACGAGAAGUCGUCGAGCGGAUCGGCGAGGCCGAUCGGUCGGGUGCUUCGACGCGUGACCUCGCGGCCAGUUAUCGGGUUCCUUGGAAGAAGCUUGCUGAAUAUGUAAGAACCUGGUAUAGGCAAAGAAGACGAAGAAGAAGAAGAGGAGAAGGAAGAGGAGGAGGACGGAUUUCCUUCGUAGGAGUGCCGAUGUCACGGGCCCGUGCCACGAGAACCACGAGAGCACGGAGGAUCGAGAAGUUAGUUAGCUCGUUUACGGUCUCCGUAGUUUUCUCUUUCUCUUCCUUACUCUAUCUAUCUUUUUCGCGGAACAGUGGUAGUACGAGGCACGUGUGUCUUCGCCCGAGUACUCGUCAGAUCGAUUUGCGCCACGAAGAUUAGAAUGAAAAGGGGACAACGACUUUGAUCGUAUCGUAUGGAGAAUAAGAGCGAACGUUGGAAUAGAGACGUCACGAAAGUAUAUUGCACGAAAGGGAGAGAGAGAGAGAGAGAGAGAGAGAGAGAGAGAGCGCUGAUCUAUUCCAUUAGAUUAUAUUUACCUACGCUUUUCUCGAAAUUGUACGUUUGUAUAAGAAAAGAAAAAAAAAAGAAAAAAUGUGUAAAAUUGAUAAAUAUAAUAUCCCCUACCGACGAGGGUCGUUCGACUCGCUUAUCGCCUUGAUUCAUGUAUAUACCACGAGCACGUGGUAUAUGGAGUUAAUACUGGGCGUAGUCUUGGCCAUUGUGCCGUGACAGACGCUCGAUUGUCCCUAUUAAUAAAAGGGGGCUACGCGGUAUCCUCUCUGAUAUCCUCGAGUGCUCUCGUUUCCUGACUUGCCCACAUACUCGGCUAUGUGCUCAGCACCUACCGAGUUUCUCCUCGCUUCGUCUCCUUAAAAACUUCCUUCGCCGGCUUUCCGCGCGCGUAACGACACCGGAAAGGUGCGGAGAGCUACGCGAAGAACCCUUCCGAAGGUUCACGACUUUGAUGGUCACGGUCAAUCGCUACCACGCCCGUCCGAUUUACUUGAAAAUUUACACUCGUAACAUCGAGAGCGUGAAUUUAAGAAAGUACCUCUUAAAGUGGGAUUUAUUAGUUUUUAUUAAAUAUCCCAUUUAAUUGGAUCGUCAUUAUAUUUUUCUUUUAUGUAUACCUACAUAUGUAGAAUCUC